CUAAAUACUACUUAGUGACCGAUAGCGCAUAGUACUGUGAAGGAAAGGUGAAAAGGACCCCGGGAGGGGAGUGAAAGAGAACCUGAAACCCUGUGUUUACAAGCUGUGGAAGUUCUUUAAAUGAACAACCGCGUACUUUUUGUAGAACGGUCCGGCGAGUUGCGGAUACUGGCAAGGUUAAGCACUUAAGGUGCGGAGCCGAAGGGAUACCAAGUCUUAACAGGGCGUUAAGUCAGUAUACGCAGACCCGAAACCGGGUGAUCUAUCCAUGUCCAGGUUGAAGUUGCCGUAAAAGGCAAUGGAGGACCGAACCCACAUCCGUUGAAAAGGGUGGGGAUGAGGUGUGGAUAGGGGAGAAAUUCCAAUCGAACCCGGAGAUAGCUGGUUCUCCUCGAAAUAGCUUUAGGGCUAGCCUCGAUUUAGUCUUAUGGAGGUAGAGCACUGAAUUUCCGCGGGGGCGUCAAAGCUUACCAAAGAAUAUCAAACUCCGAAUGCCAUGUAGAUGAUGAUCGGGAGUCAGACUGCACGAGAUAAGUUGGGCAGUCAAAAGGGAAAGAGCCCAGACCACCGGCUAAGGUCCCAAAGUGCGUGUUAAGUGGAAAAGGAUGUGGGAAUUCGAAGACAACUAGGAUGUUGGCUCAGAAGCAGCCAUACAUUCAAAGAGUGCGUAACAGCUCACUAGUCGAGAGUUCCUGCGCCGAAAAUGUCCGGGGCUGAAACACGACACCGAAGCCGUGGACUCGCAAUGCGAGUGGUAGAGGAGCAUUCUUAAAACCGACGAAGCUGUACCGUAAGGAGCAGUGGAGGGAUAAGAAGAGAGAAUGCCGGAAUGAGUAGCGAGAGAAAGGUGGGAAUCCUUUCGGCCGAAUAUCUAAGGUUUCCAGAGUAAAGCUGAUCUGCUCUGGGUAAGUCGGGGCCUAAGCACAGGUCGCAAGACGUAAGCGAUGGAUAACAGGUUUAGAUUCCUGUACCACGCAUUAUCAGAACUGUAGGGACGCAUGUGGAAAGCACGAGCCGGGAAUGGAAAGACCGGUACAAGCGAGGUAGGUGUACAAUAGGCAAAUCCGUUGUAUGAUCCGAAGACGUGAUGUGGAGCGAAAUAAAGUAGUGAAGCGUGUGAGCCAUGUGCCGAGAAAAGCCGCUAUUGUUUUAUAUGUGCCCGUACCGUAAACCGACACAGGUGGAUGAGGAGAGAAUCCUAAGGCCGACGGAAGAAGCAUUGUUAAGGAAUUCGGCAAAAUGACCCCGUAACUUCGGGAGAAGGGGUGCCCACUGAAUGGUGGGCCGCAGAGAAUAGGCUCAAGCAACUGUUUAGCAAAAACACAGGUCUAUGCGAAACCGAAAGGUGAAGUAUAUGGGCUGACGCCUGCCCGGUGCUGGAAGGUUAAGAGGAGAGGUUAGCGUAAGCGAAGCUUUGAAUUUAAGCCCCAGUAAACGGCGGCCGUAACUAUAACGGUCCUAAGGUAGCGAAAUUCCUUGUCGGGU
rnacentral:rRNA from 1 species